rnacentral:piRNA from 1 species
UCAGCAAAGGUGUCCCUUAUUUCAACUGA